GGAGAUAGGGACAACAGAAAGAAAAAUCGUGCUUACCAGUGCGUUUUGGGUCUUCGGUGCGGUGGCACUAACGUCAUCUGAUGGCUGGCUUCUCCUCUGGCCGACCUUCUUCUUCUUCUCUGGCGAAGUGAGUUCGACUAGGGUUAGGGUUUCGAUGGAAGAGAGAUUUAAAUUACCCUUCCCCUCGAUCUGGGUCGUCCAUCCGGGAUGCGUGAAUUACCCUCAUCCGUCUAAUUUCGUCUAUUAGAGAAACAGAUCUAAGUCGUUCGAUCAAAGACAUAAGGAUCGUCCGAUCGAACUUAUCCAAAAAAUCAAUUUGGACCGUCUGUGCCAGUGUGUCUGCCACACAGCGCGUCCUGGCUCGCCAUGCUUUUAAUAUGAUCGUCCUAUGUGGCCCAUACUUUUUUUUUUUUUUUUGCAAUUUGAGCCAUGCUUUCAAAUUUUUGUUUUAAUCAUACCCUCACUUCAUUUAUAGUUUCGUCAUACU
rnacentral:lncRNA from 1 species